rnacentral:rRNA from 1 species
UGGGGAAUUUUGCACAAUGGGGGAAACCCUGAUGCAGCGACGCCGCGUGAUUUAGAAGGCCUUCGGGUUGUAAAAAUCUUUUUUACGGGAUGAAAAUGACAGUACCGUAAGAAUAAGGUCCGGCUAAAUACGUGCCAGCAGCCGCGGUAAUACGUAUGGACCGAGCGUUGUCCGGAAUCAUUGGGCGUAAAGGGUACGUAGGCGGCCUAGUAAGUUAGAAGUGAAAUAAUAUAGCUCAACUAUAUAAAGCUUUUAAAACUGCUAGGCUGUAGAGAUGGAAGGGAAAGUGGAAUUCCUAGUGUAGCGGUGAAAUGCGCAGAUAUUAGGAAGAAUACCGGUGGCGAAGGCGACUUUCUGGUCAUCAUCUGACGCUGAGGUACGAAAGCGUGGGUAGCAAACAGG